rnacentral:tRNA from 1 species
GGAAGCGUGCCUAAAACAUAGGACUACCCUAAUAGGGUAGAUAUGGGACCACGGACCCCGCCUCCC